CCUACGGGGGGCAGCAGUGGGGAAUAUUGCACAAUGGGGGGAACCCUGAUGCAGCGACGCCGCGUGAGUGAAGAAGUAUUUCGGUACGUAAAGCUCUAUCAGCAGGAAAGAAAAUGACGGUACCUGACUAAGAAGCCCCGGCUAACUACGUGCCAGCAGCCGCGGUAAUACGUAGGGGGCAAGCGUUAUCCGGAUUUACUGGGUGUAAAGGGAGCGUAGACGGCAGUGCAAGUCCGGAGUGAAAGCCCACAGCUUAACCGUGGGACUGCUCUGGAAACUGUAGAGCUAGAGUGCGGGAGGGGCAGGCGGAAUUCCUAGUGUAGCGGUGAAAUGCGUAGAUAUUAGGAGGAACACCGGCGGCGAAGGCGGCCUGCUGGACCGUAACUGACGUUGAGGCUCGAAAGCGUGGGGAGCAAACAGGAUUAGAUACCCGUGUA
rnacentral:rRNA from 1 species